AAAAAGACAAACCUUGGUUUCCGUGUCCAACGUUUGACCGUCCGUCUUAUUUGAAAAAAUUAUGAAAAAAAUAUAAGUCACGCAUAAAGUAUUAAUCAUGUUUUAUCAUCUAACAACAAUGAAAAUACUAAUUAUAGUUUUUUUUAUAAGAUGGACAGUUAAAUGUUGGCACGAAAACUCAUGGUUUAUCUUUUU
rnacentral:pre_miRNA from 1 species